AAUAAAGCUUUGCCGUAGAAGGAUCUGGUUGUCCGAGUGUGUUUUGCUGGCGAAACAUUACAAGGACAUCCCAUCCCACCUACACCAUGGACCACCCACAUCAAGGUCUCCAGGCUGAGGGUAGAGCUUGUACAAAAUGAAAAUUUUGGUCACCACUCCAGAGCUACUGAGUUAGAAACCAAGAGUGAUGUUUAGCAGUGAGCGUUCCAGCUGACUAUCAUGCUCACUGAAAUUGAGAGGCACGCACCUACUCUACGCUCACUCUUCACAUUCCCUAGAGCAUACACCACUCAUCUCUGCUAGUGGAUCACCUCUGAACGCUGUCUGCGCUGGGCUGAGGAUGCUCAUUACUGAAGUUCAAGGUUCUUACUGAUGUCACUGGAAAAUUUGUCUCUGCUCUGAGAAAUCACAGGGGUUAGUCUUUGUGACUCGUGAGGUGACUACACUAACACCUGGUGUUGAUAAGAUGGCAUGAAAACAGCCAGCUCUGGAAGUCGUGCGGAGUGAUGGCUCAGAAGUGAAUAGUGCUUGCUGCUCUUUCCAAGGACCCGAGAUGGGUUACCAGCACCCAUGUUCUCCAGAUCACAGUCUUCGCUAACUCCAGCUCCAGGGCUUCUAACCCCCUCUUCUGGCCUCCAUGGUACCUUUACUCAUGUGCCUGACAUCCUCCCACACAUACUUAAUGAAAAAUUAGAAUUAAAUCUUUAAUAAUAAUAAUAAAGAGUCCCGGAAGAGUUUCACAUUCUUUUCAGUGCUACUUAUUAUAUUCUGAAGAAUUAUUUGGGGGGCUUAAUUAAAAUAACAAUGUGAGGCAGAAUCAUAACACUUUCAAAAUAUUUAUACUGAAUACGUAUCUUUUUUUAACUUAGGAAUGUGUGUGUAUCUCUCAUGUGUAUUUAG
rnacentral:lncRNA from 1 species